UGGGAGAGACUGGGAGGGGCUGGAGGGGACUGGGAGGGGAUUGGGAGGGACUGGGAAGGCACUGGGAGGGGCUGGAGGAAACUGGGAUGGACUGGGAGGGGUUUGAAGGGAAGUGGGAGGGACUGGGACAUACUGGGAGGGGUCGAGGUGGAACUGGGACCUACUGGGAAGGACUGGGGAGGGGUUCGGAGGGAACUGGGUUGUACUGGGAGGGGUCUGGGGGGAACUGGGACCUACUGGGAGGGGUUUGGGGGGGAACUGGGAGGUAGUGGGUUGUACUGGGCUGUACUGGGUUGUACUGGGAUGUACUGGGGGGUCUGGGUUGUACUGGGUUGUACUGGGAGGGGUUUGGGAGGUACUGGGAUGUACUGGGCUGCACUGCGAUGUACUGGGCUGUACUGGGUUAUACUGGGCUGUACUGGGGAGGGGUCUGGGUUGUACUGGGUUAUACUGGGAGGGGUCUGGGUUGUACUGGGCUGUACUGGGUUGCACUGUGUUAUACUGGGAGGGGUCU
rnacentral:lncRNA from 13 species